GACGACUUGGCAAUCGCACUGAUAGUGAUAUCGGUGAGGAAAGUCCGGGCUCCAAAGGGUAAGGUGCCAGGUAACACCUGGGGGGCGCGAGCCCACGGCCAGUGCAACAGAGAGUAUACCGCCGAAGCGAUUCGGUAAGGGUGAAAGGGUGCGGUAAGAGCGCACCGCGCUUCUGGUAACAGAAGUGGCAUGGUAAACCCCACCAGGAGCAAGACCAAAUAGAGGAACAAAUGCUUCGGCAUGACAUGCGGCCCGCAUGGUUCCCGGGUAGGUUGCUUGAGGCAGAUGGUGACAUCUGUCCCAGAUGAAUGAUUGUCCACGACAGAACCCGGCUUAUCGGCCAUCUCA
rnacentral:RNase_P_RNA from 1 species